rnacentral:rRNA from 1 species
UACGUAGGGGGCAAGCGUUGUCCGGAUUUAUUGGGCGUAAAGAGCGUGUAGGCGGUUUGGUAGGUCCGUUGUGAAAACUCGAGGCUCAACCUCGAGACGCCGAUGGAAACCAUCAGACUAGAGUCCGGAAGAGGAGAGUGGAAUUCCUGGUGUAGCGGUGAAAUGCGCAGAUAUCAGGAAGAGCACCCGUGGCUAAGGCGGCUCUCUAGUACGGUACUGACGCUGAGACGCGAAAGCGUGGGGAGCAAACAGG